CCUUGGGGUAAAGUAGCAGCACAUAAUGGUUUGUUGGUUUUGAAAAGGUGCAGGCCAUAUUGUGCUGCCUCAAAAAUACAAGG
ensembl:miRNA mdo-mir-15a mdo-mir-15a